AUUGAUAUACAUAUAUGGACAUUUGGUAUGUGUCAAGCAUAAAAAGAUAAUUAAUUAAUAAGAAUUAAUAAUCAAAAGAAUUUGGAAAUUGCUUUCCGCUAAAAAUGUUUCUAUACAAAAUAUGAAUGUCCGACUCGUGAUUAUAUGUUGC